AUUGAACGCUGGCGGCAUGCCUUACACAUGCAAGUCGAACGGUAACAGGUCUUCGGAUGCUGACGAGUGGCGAACGGGUGAGUAAUAUAUCGGAACGUGCCCAGUCGUGGGGGAUAACGCAGCGAAAGCUGUGCUAAUACCGCAUACGAUCUAUGGAUGAAAGCGGGGGAUCGCAAGACCUCGCGCGAUUGGAGCGGCCGAUAUCAGAUUAGGUAGUUGGUGGGGUAAAGGCCCACCAAGCCAACGAUCUGUAGCUGGUCUGAGAGGACGACCAGCCACACUGGAACUGAGACACGGUCCAGACUCCUACGGGAGGCAGCAGUGGGGAAUUUUGGACAAUGGGCGCAAGCCUGAUCCAGCAAUGCCGCGUGCAGGAUGAAGGCCUUCGGUUGGUAAACUGCUUUGUACGGAACGAAAAGGCUCUGGUUAAUACCUGGGGCUCAUGACGGUACCGUAAGAAUAAGACACCGGCUAACUACGUGCCAGCAC
rnacentral:rRNA from 1 species